rnacentral:rRNA from 1 species
UACGAAGGGAUCUAGCGUUGCUCGGAAUUACUGGGCGUAAAGCGCACGUAGGCGGUCUUUUAAGUCGGUGGUGAAAUCCUGGAGCUCAACUCCAGAACUGCCUUCGAUACUGGAAGACUUGAGUCCGGGAGAGGUGAGUGGAACUGCGAGUGUAGAGGUGAAAUUCGUAGAUAUUCGCAAGAACACCAGUGGCGAAGGCGGCUCACUGGCCCGGUACUGACGCUGAGACGCGAAAGCGUGGGGAGCGAACAGG